GGUUUCGUGGUCGAGUGGUAGUGACGCUUGGCUCUCACCCUGUAAUCCCGGGUUCGAUCCCCGGUCGAAAAGUUA